rnacentral:sRNA from 1 species
UCCGCAAUGUGCAGAAUACGCGCCCUGUAAAAAUGAUGAUUAGCCGACGUUUAUUUCACGUCGGUUAUUUUUUUGC